GGUAGCUCAGUGGUAGAGCAAAUGACUGUUAAUCAUUUGGCCGCUGGUUCGAAUCCAGCC
rnacentral:tRNA from 1 species